GACGAACGCUGGCGGCGUGCUUAACACAUGCAAGUCGAGCGGAAAGGCCCUUCGGGGUACUCGAGCGGCGAAAGGGUGAGUAACACGUGAGUAACCUGCCCCAGACUUUGGGAUAACCCUCGGAAACGGGGGCUAAUACCGGAUACGACACAGCUUCGCAUGGGGUCUGUGUGGAAAGUUUUUCGGUUUGGGAUGGGCUCGCGGCCUAUCAGCUUGUUGGUGGGGUGAUGGCCUACCAAGGCGACGACGGGUAGCCGGCCUGAGAGGGCGACCGGCCACACUGGGACUGAGACACGGCCCAGACUCCUACGGGAGGCAGCAGUGGGGAAUAUUGCACAAUGGGCGGAAGCCUGAUGCAGCGACGCCGCGUGAGGGAUGACGGCCUUCGGGUUGUAAACCUCUUUCAGCAGGGACGAAGCGUAAGUGACGGUACCUGCAGAAGAAGCGCCGGCCAACUACGUG
rnacentral:rRNA from 1 species